AGGUAAUUGGCACCCCUUUCCACUCAAAAUGAGAGAGAGCACCAGAGCUCAGCUGUGAACCCCUUCCAGAGGUGCAGUGUAGCCGACUCACACCCCUGACAGAUACAACAGGGAUUAAUGAGCCGUGACCAGAGUUUGAUUUUUCUGUCAAGCGCUCCCAUCCGUUUUUAAUAAACAGAAGAACAACAUAAACUCCAUCACCUGCUCCAGCACGACUUCCUCCAAGCAGGGGCUGCCCCCGGCACCGGGAAGGUGGAGCUGAGCAGUGAUUCUAAACGACCAACAAAUGCUUUUAUGAGCCCCUUUGGUGGGUUGCUCUGGCGAUGGGCUCUGCUCCCUGAGACCCACUUCUCUGCCUGUGUUCAAUAUGGGCCGCUCAGCACUCUGCCAGGGGAAACCGUCAAGUAAGGUUGUCUCCUGCAAGUUCUGGAUUCAGAGCCAAGACGAAGAGAAUUAAGUAGCAGGUGGUGGGAACCAGGGCAUGUUCACAUCCACAGGUGGUCCGUUCCGAAUGACCUGACCCCCACCAGUUCCUGUGAGUUGCUCUGAAUAGAUGCUUUAGGAUCCUGAGAUGUCCCACACACAGAGGCUCAGUCCGUGUGGUUGGGCACUGGAUUCCCAGGUUGAGGUUCAGUCUUUCUGGAAGCGCUCUUCCACACACCUGCGUGUGAUAAGAGAUCUGAUACAGGGCCCAUUGGCCACUGGCUUCCCAUGAACCUGUGGGCACCCAGCCUGCGCCCCAAGUAGAUGACUUCUAGCUCCCUGUGCCCUCCCCGUCCUGGGGCCUAUGGUGACGAAUAACCUUGCUUUUUCAGAAGCACUUUCCCAUCCCAGUUCAGAAAUCAACCUGAAAUUGCCCACUCCCAACUGUUUACCUUUCAUCAAAACGGGGAGGAGGGGAGUGGAGCUUUCUGUCAAAAUAGGUGUGUGUGUAGGGAUAUAUUAUAUUAUGUUUUUGCUGUUGUUCAGUUGCUCAGUUGUGUCCAACUCUUUGCAACCCUAUGAACUGUGUAGCCCACCAGUCUCCUCUGUCCAUGGGAUUCUCCAGGCAAGAAUACUGAAAUGGGUUGCCAUUUCCCUUACCAGGGGAUCUUCCCUACCCAGGGAUCAAACCCUCCUCUUCUGAAUCUCCUGCAUUGGCAGGCGGAUUCUUUACCACUGAGCCACCAGGGAAGCCCAUAUUAUAUUAUACAUAUAUC
ensembl:lncRNA